UAAUUUACUUGAUCUUGACAAUCUACUUGGAUAACUGUGGUAAUUCUAGAGCUAAUACAUGCACCAAAGCUCCAACCCGCAAGGGAAGAGCGCAUUUAUUAGAACAAAACCAAGCGGCUUCGGCCGUCCAAAGUUGACUCAGAAUAACUAAGCUGAUCGCAUGGUCUUGUACCGGCGACGUGUCUUUCAAGCAUCUGCCUUAUCAACUUUCGAUGGUAGUGUAUCUGACUACCAUGGUGGUGACGGGUAACGGAGGAUAAGGGUUCGACUCCGGAGAAGGGGCCUGAGAAAUGGCCACUACGUCUAAGGAUGGCAGCAGGCGCGCAAAUUACCCACUCUCAGAACGAGGAGGUAGUGACGAGAAAUAACGAGAUCGUUCUCUUCAGAGGCCGAUCAUCGGAAUGGGUACAAUUUAAACCCUUUAACGAGUAUCUAUGAGAGGGCAAGUCUGGUGCCAGCAGCCGCGGUAAUUCCAGCUCUCAAAAUGCAUAGAAUUAUUGCUGCGGUUAAAAAGCUCGUAGUUGGAUCUGUGCUGGUGUGGCGGUCCGCCUUCGGGCGCGUACUGUUCAUCACUGGCUUUUCUGUAGUGUUCGGCUCCAUGGCCUUCAACSGUCGUGGUUGUUCGGUGCUACAAGUUUACUUUGAACAAAUCAGAGUGCUCUAAACAGGCGUUUCGCUUGAAUGUUCGUGCAUGGAAUAAUAGAAG
rnacentral:rRNA from 1 species